GGAGGAAUGGCCGAGUGGUUGAAGGCGGCAGUCUUGAAAACUGUUGAGCCGUAAGGUUCCGUGGGUUCGAAUCCUACUUCCUCCGCCA
rnacentral:tRNA from 1 species